GAUGAAGAACGUAGCGAAAUGCGAUAAGUAAUGCGAAUUGCAGAAUCCAGCGAGUCAUCGAAUCUUUGAACGCACAUUGCGCCCGCCAGUAUUCUGGCGGGCAUGCCUGUCCGAGCGUCAUUUCAACCCUCGGGCCCCCCUCUGCGGGCGGCCCGGCGUUGGGGCUCAGGCGCCGUCUCUGCUCGGCGCCUGUCCCCUAAAUGCAGUGGCGGCCUCGCCGCUGCCUCCUCCGCGUAGUAGCACAAACCUCGCGGCUGGAAGGCGGCGCGGCCACGCCGUAAAACCCCCCAACUUUACCAAGGUUGACCUCGGAUCAGGUAGGAAUACCCGCUGAACUUAAGCAUAUCAAUAAGCGGAGGA
rnacentral:misc_RNA from 1 species